CAGGCUCCUGGCCUGGAGGAGUGCAGACGGCCCAACAAGAACAGGAACCACUCCACCACGUGUCUGCUGUCCCGGUGCCAAGUGCCACUUGACAGCCACCCCAGUGGGCCAGGACCGUCAUGUCCCCACCUCACCGUGGGGGACAGUCUCAGGUUUUCUCAGACCUUGACGACCCUGACGUCAUGUCCCAGCACGAGACAAAGAAUCCCGGGCUCSGGCUGAUAACGGGAGGACGUGUGACCUGUCUGGACCUUUGGGACCCGCCAGCCCCCCUGCAGGCUCCUGUGCCCACCAGCGGGUCUUGGCUGUCCCCAGGGGAUUCCUGUUCCUGCUGACGUUGGGGACGUGCUAUUUCUGGUGACCUCAGCCAGGUGCUCCCUCAAGUUCCCAGGUUUCYAGGUUUGCAGACCCUGGCGGCUUCUUGUCCCCCAUGGCCACUGUCCUCUGGGAAUAUUGUCAUCGUCUCCUUACCAAGCUCUGCCUGCCCCUCCCCUUGCCCCGACAUUUCUCCAUUCUGCCGAGGGAACCUGUUCCAGCCAAGUCAGGUUCCACCCCACUCUGCCCAGUUGCCCUCCACUGGCGACUGUAAAAGCCAG
rnacentral:lncRNA from 1 species